GAUGAAGAACGCAGCGAAAUGCGAUAAGUAGUGUGAAUUGCAGAAUUCAGUGAAUCAUCGAAUCUUUGAACGCACAUUGCGCCCCUUGGUAUCCCGAGGGGCAUGCCUGUUCGAGCGUCAUUUCACCACUCAAGCCUGGCUUGGUGUUGGGCGACGUCCCCUUUGGGACGCGCCUCGAAACGCUCGGCGGCGUGGCACCGGCUUUAAGCGUAGCAGAAUCUUUCGCUUUGGAAGUCGGGGCCCCGUCUGCCGGAAGACCUACUCGCAAGGUUGACCUCGGAUCAGGCAGGGAUACCCGCUGAACUUAAGCAUAUCAAUAAGCGGAGGA
rnacentral:misc_RNA from 1 species